CCUACGGGUGGCAGCAGUGGGGGAUAUUGGACAAUGGGGGGAACCCUGAUCCAGCGACGCCGCGUGAGUGAAGAAGUAUCUCGGUAUGUAAAGCUCUAUCAGCAGGGAAGAAGAAAUGACGGUACCUGAGUAAGAAGCCACGGCUAACUACGUGCCAGCAGCCGCGGUAAUACGUAGGGGGCAAGCGUUAUCCGGAAUUACUGGGUGUAAAGGGAGCGUAGACGGGGUUGUAAGUCUGGAGUGAAAGGCGGGGGCUCAACCCCCGGACUGCUCUUGAAACUAUGUGACUGGAGUGCAGGAGAGGUGAGCGGAAUUCCUAGUGUAGCGGUGAAAUGCGUAGAUAUUAGGAGGAACCCCGAUUGCGAAGGCAGCAUGCCGGCUUCCUACUGACGCUGAAGCACGAAAGCGUGGGGAUCGAACAGGAUUAGAUACCCUUGUAGUC
rnacentral:rRNA from 1 species